rnacentral:RNase_P_RNA from 1 species
GGAGUUGGCCAGACAGUCGCCGCCGCGCCUUGUGUGCGGGGGAGGAAAGUCCGGGCUCCAUAGGGCAGAGUGCCAGGUAACGCCUGGGCGGCGUGAGCCGACGGAAAGUGCAGCAGAGAGUAGACCGCCUAAGCCUUUCGAGGCCGGUAAGGGUGAAAGGGUGCGGUAAGAGCGCACCGCACGGCUGGUAACAGUGCGUGGCAAGGUAAACCCCACUCGGAGCAAGACCAAAUAGGGACCCAAUGGCGUGGCCCGCGCUGGGUCCGGGUAGGUUGCUUGAGCGCUGCGGUGACGUAGCGCCUAGAGGAAUGGCUGUCUUAGACAGAACCCGGCUUAUCGGCCGACUCCCCUC